GUGCUCACUUCAGCAGUACAAAUACUAAAAUUGGAAUGAUCAGAGAAGAAUAAUAUGGUCCAGCACAUGGAUGACAUACAAAUUCAUGAAGCAUUCCAUAUUAUU
rnacentral:snRNA from 1 species